CCGCUUCUGCUCCAGGCCUGAACUGGGUCGGCUGGGGAACUGCUCUCAUGGAGACCCUGCUUAAGCGGGAGCUGGGCUGCAGCUCGGUCAAAGCUACGGGUCACUCGGGAGGCGGGUGCAUUAGCCAGGGCCAGAGUUAUGACACGGACAAAGGACGAGUGUUUGUGAAAGUGAACUCCAAGGCAGAGGUAGGGCCACCGGCGCUGGGUGAGGGUCGGGCUCGUUGACCCGAGGCUAAAAUGGGGCGGUGGUUUGGGUCCGGGGUGUGUGAGAUCCUGAGCUGACCCGGGUUGGGUAGCGCUAGAGACUCAGUCUUCAGCGACAGUCUCUGCCCGCUGUCCACAGCCCGGCGAUUUCCCUUUGGCCUCCGGCUUCCCUGCCCUUGCCCGCUGUGCCCGCUAAGGCAACGGUGGCUAUGCAGGUGCAGCGCGUGGUAUUCAGAGAUUGCUAUGCCCGCUUCUUUGAGAAAGCCUUCACGUCUGGCUGGUUAGUUUUGAGAAACGCCAGAGUACUCGUGUUUAUCUGGAGCUUAUUUCAAAACUCAGAUCAAAGAUCUUAAAGGAUCAAAAUAACACACUCAUCCCACCACGUUCUGUUUGAGAGUGAACUUUUUCUGAAGCGCCCAAUGGAAGAUAGGGUGAGAGCCCCAAGGCUUCAGUUGUGUUCCUGGUUGCUGCUGUCCCUUUGUCAUUUUAAGCUGUUCACUCCAGGUUUUGUUUGGAAGGGACGUGGAUGGCUUCUGUAGAACUUGGCAAAGUUUUUUUAAAGACGAAACUGAAGGUGUUUAUCUUCUUGUUAAGCCCUACACACCCUCCACGUUAGAGUUGGUUUCUGUCACUAAGGCUGACUUCCAAACUCAACCCUUUUGUUUCUGUCUCUUGGAGUGCUGGGAUUGCAGGUUCUAGCCACGAGCCUAGCUUUUUGCAUUUGUGGUCAUUUUUCUUUCAAGAAAGGAACCUGCCUCUCCCAUGUGUGUUAACCUUUGGAAUACCCUUAUUUUCUCAGGACUUGCCUCAACCCCUGUCUUCAGCCAUCAGUUUGCCCUCAGCCACAGUCUUCGUGGUCUCCUGCAUGUUCUACAGCUGGGCCUCUCUGUUCUGGUUUUGCUUGUUUUUAUAUAGUAGCCUUUCUCUACAGCCCUCAGUAUUUCCACUUUGAUUUGUUUUUUCUUUGUGAUGACAGGUUGAACCCAGAGCCAUGCACAUCCUAAGCAAGUAUGAUACAUACCACUGAGCUGCAUCUUCAAACUAGUGGUGUGUGUGUGUGUGUUUUCUGUUGUUUGGAGUUGAGUUCAGGCUCUUUUCUCUCUUUUUCUUUUUCUUGUCUUUUUUCUUUUUGGUUAUUGUUUAAUUUCUUGAAACAGGAUCUCACUACGUAGCCCAGAAUGGCCUUGAACUGACAGAGAUGUGCCUACUUCCUUCGAGUUUACAUUCUCUCUCGCAGGAAGUGGGGUUUGCUUGUUUUGAGGCAGUUUCCAUCUGUAUGUAGCCCAGGCUAGUCUGGAACUUACUAUGGAAUCCUCAGCCUCUCAAGUGGUAGGAUUCCAUAUGUUAGCCAGCAUGAACUGCCGAGUUCUUUUUUAAAAGAUUUAUUUAUUUAUUCAGUUUUAAAGACAAUACGUAUGUGUGUAUAUGUGGUGUAGGAUGUGUGUGUGGUGCCCGUGGAGACCAGAGACAUCAGAGCCUCCUGAAGUGGGAAUCACAGGUGGUUAUGACCUACCUGAUGUGGGGGGUAGGAAUUGAACUCGGAACCUCUGCAAGAGCAGUAUGCACUUUUAACCACUAAACCAUAUCCAGCCCCACUGCUGGGUUAUCUCCCAUUCAAAGUCUAUUUUCAAUUUUUCAGUCUUCCUUUUCCAUUUGGCCUUUUUUCUUGCUUGCGCUGGGAUACAUAGCAUGAAUUGUGCUGGAAUACUGUCCAUAAGAUGAACAUCUGCCAAUUGUAAUUAUAACUUUGUGUUAGAAACAUGACUCUUCCUUGCUCUACUUUCUCUGAGGUAAGAGAGACUCUAAGACUACCCGACUUCUCUUUUAUGUGCUUUCUUAUGCCUCGCUAGAAUCUACCUGGUUGACUUUUCUUAUUAGACUUUUUAAACUUAUGUAAUUGAUUUUAUCUCAUUUUUAAGUUGUUUCCAGAUUUUUUUUCUCACAAUGGUCCAACUGAAGCUUAAUUUUCCCAUAGGUCUAUUUAUGAGUAGCUACUUUCUUAGCUGGAAUCUUCCAACCACAUAAACAGUAAACUACUACUGUGAAGGAGCAGUUCUUCUUGAUGGCUACACAGUUCCUUUUAAAACAUUUCUUUUUCUCGUGCUGCCAUUAAUGUAGUCUCUUUCACCAGCACCUUGGGCAAAAGUCCAGCUUCUCCUUCAUAUUCUAAAGAGAUUGCUGUGAAAGUUCUGUCAGGACAUAGUUCCUAUCUUCCUUCUCAGAAACUUUGGUUUUCUUAGUGAGUAGUUGCAACAUUUGUAGCAUGUUUAGAAUGGGCUGUUAGCUGCUACCUCAGAAAUGUAGGUUCUCCCAUUCUAUAGGUGAGCAAACUGAAGCAAAGAAAGCUUAAGUAACUUGCCUGAGGUCACAGUGGUAGCAACUAGGAGUGUACCUAGAAUUGCCCUGGCAGAGCUAUUCAGUAGGAAGGGUGAUUACAUUUUGGUAUGUUCACCCUGUGAAAUAGUAUAUACGAUGAAGGUAUAACAAAUACACCAGACCCAAGAGCCCAUGUGACUGAGUGUAAAAUGGUCACAUAGCACUCAGAGGACUGAGGCAGGAGGAUUGUGAGUUUGAGGCCAGCAUGGACUACAUAGCAAAACCCUGUUACAUUAAAAAC
rnacentral:lncRNA from 1 species